UCCCAAAUUACUCUGGACAAAAUUACUCUGAUCUCGCCCUCUCUUUCACUCCGUCUCGCGUAGCCUUCCUCCCGACUGCACCCAGUCAGCCUCCUCCUCAUCCUUCCUCCUCACCCUCUCCCGUAGCCUUCCUCAUCGCCUUCCGAACAGCCUCCAAGCCCCAACAGUUCUCCCACGACGACGCGGACGAGGUUUAAUGGAAAAUAAAUGGUAUUUGCACAUUGCAAUCUGACCAAGUGGAACUGUCGGGGGAAACUAAAAUCUAAAAAGAAACUUUCUUUGUGCCUUUCGUAGUUCUUCCGCCGCUUUCACCCCCUUUGCUCUCUCUCUCUCUCUUCGAUAGCUUUGAGAGAAGAAGACUAAAAAGGCAUUUUCAGCUUGAAGAAUCUCUCUCUAUCCUUGUGGGAUUGUAUUUCUGCAAAUCUCAGUUAGGUUUAUGGAUAUGAGAUACAAAAUUGGACCGCGGGAAUCAGCCAAUAAAGUCGUCGUAUCUCCUGCAAUCCUUUCGAAGUAUCAGUCGUCGGAUCGAUUAACGCCUUGGUGUGUUCUUCCUAGAUAACACCUAGUUCUCGGAUUUCAUAUUUAUAUAUAAAGGAAGGUACUUUUUUGAUGUUCCAAUUCAUGGGUUUUAUGUCUCUGUUAAUUUAUUUUUUAGUUUUCUUUUGCGCUUGAAAUUCUUAUUUUCUAUAUAGGACUUUUGGAAUUCUAGACAACCAUUUGCGGUUUUUUGAUUGUAUAGUGAGAUGAACAUGAAUUUGAGGUUGUUAAAUUUCGAGCUCUAUAAUCACUUUCAUGCUAGUUUUUGGAUCUGAUAUCUCCAGUUUCUUUGUAUGUUCGGUGCAAGUUACAAACUUGUCUUACUAGCAAAGUAACCUGUACAUCAUGCUGUUACUUGGUUUGUGAUGACUGUUGCUAAUAUUCUUUAUUUUUGUUUUUCGUCAGUUUUAUAUUCUAUAUAUGUUCAUUAGGUGGAUGUCAAGGGAUCGAGCUAAGUCAGGUGGUUGGGCUGCCUUUGACCUCAAGCAGCGCCAGAAACAAGGCCUUGAGCCUUAAGUUGACAAGGAUCGUUUCCCACCUAUACCGACCAAUCUAACUUCUCUACAUCCUCGUGCAAACGUACCGAGGAAUAAUGACCUUCUGGGCAGGCCUUUUUCAACUCUACACCUCCCAUCUGUAGAUUGUCCAACUUUGGCAGAGAAUAGGGUUGGGAAAAGGCCUUUAUUAGAUGGCGAUUCCAGUGGGAAACAAUACACUACCGUGGAAGAUAAUAUAUCUUCCAUGAAGAAGAUCAUGUAUUUUACCCUUGGGCUGACGAUUUCUUGAUUGAGGAUAUUAUGGUUGGUAUUGAUAAUGAUAUGGAUAAGGUCUCAAUUUUAUUGAAACAAUGGUUUCCCCUAGCAGCUGUGAAGAGAAUAACCGAACUAGCAUUUCAAAAAAACAACUCCAGUUUAAAUGGACCGCCACAAUUUUUAGAUUAAGUUCCUUGACUAGAAACAACUUUUAUUAAUUUUUAUAGAUUUUAGUUUUGUUGUUAAAUGACUCAUUGACUUGUGUGUUUCUAUUGUAGGAGCUUUAGUCUAUGCUGGAGUUUAUGAGCUUGUAUUGCAAAAACUUCAGAGGUUAACUCGAACAGUAUUCUUAAGGUUCUUCCUGGCAGAUCUCCAACUAUUUUGUUCAGUUUCGUAUGAUUGCAAAUCAUCCUUUACUAGUAAGGCGUAUUUACAGUGAUGAGGAUGUUGUUCGUUUUGCCAGAAAGUUACCUUAGACAAAGUAGUUGGGGAACUUAAGAAUUAUAGUGACUUCUCUAUCCAUCGGCACUCAAGUGACAGAAUGACAGACGAUAAUUGAUACAUUCAAUAAUGACACUUCUAUAUUUGCUUGCUUGCUGUCCACAAGAGCUGGAGAACAGGGUUUGAACUUGGUUGGAGCUGAUACCGUAGUUAUUCAUGAUAUGGAUUUCAACCCGCAAAUUGAUCGACAGGCAGAAGAUCAUUGUCAUUGCAUCGGCCAAGUGAAGGUUGUUACCAUAUACAGGCUAGUCACUAAGGGUACAAUUGAUGAAAAUGUCUACGAGAUUGCGGAAAGGAAGUAGUGCUAGAUGCUGCAGUCCUGGAAUUUGGUGUGGAGAUGGAAAAUAAAGGUGACACAUCCACCAUGAGAGAGAUAUUAUCGAAACUUUUGCUUGGUUAAAGAUUUUAGAAAACUUACAGUCGAUCUGCCGAUAAAGAAACUGCAAUUGGAAACCUUUGUAAUUUAGUUUUUGUAUUUUUCAAGUCACACCUUUGACCUCCCAGCCGAUACCCAAUAGCUUGAUGUAUUAAACCUAGAAGACUACUUCUUGUAGU